AGAAGCUCACACUCUAAUAUGGUA
rnacentral:siRNA from 1 species